CACGUAGGGGGCGAGCGUUGUCCGGAUUUAUUGGGCGUAAAGAGCUCGUAGGCGGCUCGGUAAGUCGGGUGUGAAACCUCCAGGCUCAACCUGGAGACGCCACUCGAUACUGCCGUGGCUAGAGUCCGGUAGAGGAGCGUAGAAUUCCUGGUGUAGCGGUGAAAUGCGCAGAUAUCGGGAGGAACACCAAUGGCGAAGGCAGCUCGCUGGGACGGUACUGACGCUGAGACGCGAAAGCGUGGGGAGCAAACAGG
rnacentral:rRNA from 1 species